rnacentral:rRNA from 1 species
GAUGAACGCUGGCGGCGUGCUUAACACAUGCAAGUCGAACGAAGUUUUUCUUUCUGGAGGGACUUAUUGGCGGACGGGCGAGUAACUCGUGGGUAACCUGCCCUGUACAGAGUGACAGCAGCUGGAAGCGGCUUCUAAUACCUCAUAAGCCCUUAGCACUGCAUGGUGCAGAGGUGAAAGGAGCAAUCCGGUACAGGAUGGACCCGCGUCUGAUUAGCCAGUUGGCAGGGUAACGGCAUACCAAAGCGACGAUCAGUAGCCGAUCUGAGAGGAUGUACGGCCACAUUGGGAAUGAGACACGGACCAGACUCCUACGGGAGGCAGCAGUGGGGAAUAUUGCACAAUGGAGGCAGAUCUGAUGCAGCGACGUCGCGUGAGUGAAGCAGUAGUUCGGUAUGUAAAGCUCUAUCAGAAGGAAAGAAAAUGACGGUACCUGACGAAGAAGCACCGGCUAACUACGUG